GAUGAACGCUGGCGGCGCGCUUAACACAUGCGAGUCGAACGGACAGGCCCUGCUUUUGUGGGGUGCUCGAGUGGCGCACGGGUGAGUAACACGUGAGUAACCCGCCCUUGCCUUUGGGCUAACUCCCGGAAACUCGGGCUAAUACCGGAUAGGAGCUCCUGCUGCACGGUGGGGGUUGGAAAUUUUCGGCGAUUGGGGAUGGACUCGCGGCUUCUCAGCUUGUUGGUGGGGUAGUGGCUUACCAAGGCUUUGACGGGUAGCCGGCCUGAGAGGGUGACCGACCACAUUGGGACUGUGGUACGGCCCGGACUGCAACGGGGGGCAGCGGUUGGAAAUAUUGCACAAUGGGCGGAAGCCUGAUGCAGCAUCGCCGCGUGCGGAAUAGCGGCCUACGGGUUGUAAACCGCUUUCGCCUGUGACGAAGCCUGGGUGACGGUAAUGGGUAAAGAGGCACCGGCUAACUACGUG
rnacentral:rRNA from 1 species